rnacentral:rRNA from 1 species
ACGCACGCUGGCGGCGUGCUUAACCCCUGCACGUCGAACGGAAAGGCCCUGCUUUUGUGGGGUGCUCGAGUGGCGAACGGGUGAGUAACACGUGAGUAACCUGCCCUUGACUUUGGGAUGACUUCAGGAAACUGGGGCUAAUACCGGAUAGGAGCUCCUGCUGCAUGGUGGGGGUUGGAAAGUUUCGGCGGUUGGGGAUGGACUCGCGGCUUAUCAGCUUGUUGGUGGGGUAGUGGCUUACCAAGGCUUUGACGGGUAGCCGGCCUGAGAGGGUGACCGGCCACAUUGGGACUGAGAUACGGCCCAGACUCCUACGGGAGGCAGCAGUGGGGAAUAUUGCACAAUGGGCGGAAGCCUGAUGCAGCAACGCCGCGUGCGGGAUGACGGCCUUCGGGUUGUAAACCGCUUUCGCCUGUGACGAAGCGUGAGUGACGGUAAUGGGUAAAGAAGCACCGGCUAACUACGUG